rnacentral:tRNA from 1 species
CAGGGAGACAACAAAAUGUUUAAUAUUAUUAUUUUGUCACCUUAGGUCGAUCGGUAUCUCGCAUUUUUAAUUUAUUAAAAAUUUCAAUUCCUAAGUUUUUCUAGGUCACACCCAUUAUUUUUCCUGGGCCAUUAGCUCAGGUGGUUAGAGCGCACCCCUGAUAAGGGUGAGGUCCCUGGUUCAAGUCCAGGAUGGCCCAUAUCUCUAUGUUGGGGGUAUAGCUCAGUUGGUAGAGCGCCUGCUUUGCAAGCAGGAUGUCAGCGGUUCGAGUCCGCUUACCUCCACUGAUUACCACCUCUUCCAUAAUCUGUAGAAAAGGAAAAUUUUGAGUUGUGAUCAAAUUCUGAACGAAUCUAGCUUCCUAAUAAAACCAUUAAGAUGCUGGACUCAUUGAAUUAAUUUCAUUGUUUUCAGAGAACCUUGACAACUGCAUAGAUUAUUUUUAAAGACAAUAAGCAUCUUUAAUGAUGCAGAUUUAUUAUUUGUGCGAAUGCAUUAAUAACAAUUCUAUUAAGCUGAUGCUUCAAUUUUGAAGUUAUU